rnacentral:lncRNA from 1 species
UCAGUGAUUGAUUUGGGGGGGCGGGGAGGCGCCAAAAUUCAGUUCGCCUACACUUGAAAAUUACCUUGGGCCGGCCCUGAGUCUCGCUUAUCCAAUGUAAAUGGGCCAGCAGAAAGUUGGAUAAGCGAAUAUGUUGGAUAAUAAGGAGAGAAUAAGGAAAAGCCUAUUAAACAUCAAAUUAGGUUAUGAUUUUACAAAUUAAGCACCAAAACAUCAUGUUAUACAACAAAUUUGACAGAAAAACAGUUCAAUACUCAGUAAUGUUAUGUUGUAAUUACUGUAUUUAUGAAUUUAGCACCAAAAUAUCACGAUAUAUUGAAAGCAUUGACUACAAAAAUGGCUUGGAUAAUCCAGAAACUUGGAUAAGCGAGGCUUGGAUAAGUGAGACUCUACUGUAUUUAAAUCAGGUACAUAAGGAUAAGGCACACAUAGAAAGCAGACCAACACAUUAAACUAAGUAAUGAGUCAGAAAUGAGUCACAUCUUAAGAACAGUCAAGCAUUUCGAGCUCUGAGGAUUACCUGGGAAGGAAGUAAUUGCAUUGCAGCAUUGGAGCAUUGCAUUCCUGGAGCAUUGCAGCACACUGAAAUACCCGGGAGUCACUCUGGACUGUGCUCUGACUUACAAGAAGCACUGCUUGAAUAUCAAGCAAAAAGGUGGGUGCUAGAAAUAAUAUCAUAUGAAAGCUGACUGGCACAACCUGAGGAUCACAACUAGAUCUGCCUUUGUGCUUGGCUACUUUGCUGCUGAAUAUGCCUGCCCAGUGUGGAAUACAUCUCACCACGUUAAAACAGUUGAUGUGGCUUUUAAUGACAUGCCGCAUCAUCACAGGAUGUCUAGUCCCUGCACCACUUAAGAAAUUAUACUGCUAAGCCAGUAUUGCACCACCUGACAUCUGCUGGGAAGUAGCAUCUGUAAUGAAAGAAAAUAAUAAUAAUAAUAAUAAUAAUAAUAAUAAUAAUAAUAAUAAUAAUAAUAGAUCUGCCAGCUGCAAAAGGCCACCCUGCUGGGAUCUGCGCGCAUCAUCCGAAAAUACAUCACACAGUCCUAGACACUUGGGAAGUGUUCGACUUGUGAUUUUGUGAUAUGAAAUCCAGCAUAUCUAUCUUGCUUGCUGUGUCAUAAUAAAAUAAUAAUAAUAAUUCAGGCCAAGAUUGAAAAAUCAGCUGAUGACCCAAAAUGCAGACUGUGCAAGGAAGCUGACGAAACCAUUGAUCAUAUCCUCAGCUGCUGUAAGAAAAUUGCACAGACAGACUACAAACAGAGGCACAACUAUGUGGCCCAAAUGAUUCAUUGGAAUAUUUGAGCAAUUUUGUUUUGUCUCAGUCUCUCUUUUUCAAAAAAAAAAAAAGACA